rnacentral:lncRNA from 1 species
AUGGGCUUGGAGGGGACCUCAGGGGAGGGUCCCAGAACACAAGGGUCUAGUCCUGCGCCAGGGAGAAGGGAGCCUGCUCUCGGCCAGAGAUCCCAUGCAGGGUCUCAGGUUUGUAGACGAAGCCCCGUGAUCUCUAAGAGCUGCCUGGCCUCAGCUCUGCGAAGGGAUUCCAGCUUUUCCCGGGAAACUAGAGUGGAUGAAACUGACAGCCCUCUGCGCCGAGGGAGGAGGAGGCCGAGGCCGGCAUCCGGCUUGGCUUCCUGCGAGUCUCACCGAGCACCGGGCUGUCUCCACAGUAGCUUUGGCGGCAAACAAAUCGGCCCAAGAAAAGAAUGAAUUUUGCAUUCUGGGUUUUGAAUUUUCUGGCCCAGAGAUGAGACAUUGAAGCCGGGUGCUGCUCCUUGAAGGCCAGCAACAGCCUUCUAUGUUGGUUGUAUUUUUGUAUUGCUUAGCUACAUUUCAGUCUUUCAAGGAUUUUCAGCCCAUUAAGAUGGAUGUAUUUGGGUGAAAAGGCGUUUAAAAAGUCUUUAAAAUGCUAAAAGCAGGCAAAAUAGCAAACGACAUUUAAAAGGAAGCAAAAACACUGAAGGGACGAACAGCGACACAUCAUGGAAAAAAGAAUUACUUUUGAAAACUGCUUUGCUACCUAUAUGAAAUUAAGGUGGACGCGUCCUUGGACGAAUAAGCCAAAAGCGCUCGAGUGAAAGACUCCCGGCCGGCGCACGCGCAGUGCAGGGCCACCCGGCAGCCGGCGCAGUUCUUGGAGAGCCUGGGUUUUCGCCGCGAGGCCCGCCCACCCCAGCGGAGGCGGGCGGCUCCCGACGGCCGGGAGAGGUUCUUCCGCCCGUCAGUCGCCCGAGUGUGAGGGUUGGGGGCUCCUCGGACGGGAAAGUUUUCUCUCAGGCCGGGGAGAAAGCGCAUUCUGCAUUAUCUCGGGGUCCUGUUCUUUGGCUCUAGACUUAAAGGAAAUGGAAACGUCUAGUCGAAGUGCUUAUGCCUCCGGCCUUACGCUCUACACAGACCUUUGUUCUGGUUCCCUAAAGCUGCGUAAAUGCAUUCUCCUCCGCAACUUAGUGGUGUCAAACAAGCAUUUUUUUGUUUGUUUUGAAUUGAUGGAUUCUGUGCGGGAGGAAUUCCAGCGGCUCCCUAAGGCUGGCGGCCCGAGUCCUCUGAAGGCGUCGUGACUCAUCCGUCUGGCGGCUGUCGUCGGCUAUUGACUGGGGGUCCCCGGCCCCCCUCCACGUGGAUCCGUCCACGCGGGCUCCUACCUGGGCCCCUCUGCGCGGCGUCGGAGC